rnacentral:lncRNA from 1 species
GCCGCCGACGGGGCCGGUUUGGUCCAUGGGCCGCGGUCUGUAGUCCAUGGUACCAACACUUUCUGUUUAUCUGGGUUUUUAUUUCUACAGGUACUUCCAAAUGACUGUCAAAUUUGGAUACAAUGUUGUCACUGGAAAAUAUAACGAUGAAUUGUCUGUUGGAAUAAUCGAUCCUACUAAGGUAACUUGUUUCUAUAAUUAUCACUGUGGUUUAACUUGUUUAUAUUAUCUAUGCAGUCAUGUGGCUAACUAUGCAGUCAUUAGCAUCUAGUUGGAGGAAGUUGAUCGUCUAAUAGCAAUAUGUUGAUAGUUAUUCUUUAGAUUUUAACAGAACAUUGAUAGCAAUAUUUAUAGCCCAAUAUUAAAGCCCAUUAAUAUUGGACUCAUUUGAAAAUCAAAAUAUUUAACGGCAAAUAUGAGCGGCAAAUUGAUUUCCAAUCAGUCAAAUCAACAUGCAGAUUUUAAAUUUGUAUUUAUUCUAUUUAUUCUAUUUAUUAAAUUUUAAUUAAAUGUGUUUACUG